rnacentral:lncRNA from 13 species
UUGAAAAGGAGCUUCCUAUUGUGAACAAUGGGUCUACUCUUUUUUUUGUAAAUGAAGAACAUAAUUAUUCAUACUUGUAGCCAUGUAUGCACAUAAUCAUGCAGUCAUUCACUAAUUAAAAAACUUGUUUCGUGUUGUUUCUUUGAGGUCCACUAUGAAAUAAACUCCAAAGGAUGAGGAGCAAGCAUUUUAAACAAGAAGGCAGCUGAGGGAACUAAGAAAUGAGCCAAGAAGCUCUUCCCCUUUGCUUCUAGCUGGCCACUCUUGGGGGCACCUGCAAUACUGGUUUCAAUUAUUCAUGCUACGCUCAAUGUGUCCAGAAACCCACACCGUUCCUUUGUGUUUGGUUGAGUAGCCUUUCCAAUGAGCUGCGUUUCUGUGUGAUAUUGGACAUAUAUUGCUUCCACAGAAAUCUUGAAACUGAAAAUAAGCAACUAUAAUUUAGAAAAUAGUCAUUUAAUUCAAAGUCAAGCUACUCAGAAUGGAAAGCAGCUUUACCUUCGGCAACUACUUGUGUUAUGUCUUCACCUUCAGCCAUCAUCUCAUUAAAAAUCACUGAUAUUUCCACAGAAGGUUUGUGUCUUUUGAUUUGAGUGAGCUCUGUGAUGUCACAAUGUCCUAUGUGUGCUUGGUGGUUGGAUGGUAAAGGUUGAUUGAUAUCUUGCGCAUGUUACACACUUAGGACCACCAUUGUUGAAAAAUAAAAACAACUUUUCAUUAAACA